AGAGUUUGAUCAUGGCUCAGAACGUACGCUGGCGGCACGCCUUAUACAUGCAAGUCGAACGCAGUAGCAAUACUGAGUGGCAAACGGGUGAGUAUAAUGUGGGAAUCUGCCUUUUGGUUUGGAAUAACACGGGGAAACCUGUGCUAAUACCGAAUAAGCCUUCACAGGGAAAGUUUUAUACGCCGAAAGAUGAGCCCGCACUUGAUUAGCUAGUUGGUGAAGUAAAAGCUCACCAAGGCAACAAUCAAUAGCUGUUCUUAGAGGAAGACCAGCCACAUUGGGACUGAGACACGGCCCAGACUCCUACGGGAGGCAGCAGUAAGGAAUCUUGCACAAUGGGGGAAACCCUGAUGCAGCGAUGCCGCGUGAGUGAAGAAGGCCCUUGGGUUGUAAAACUCUUUCGUCGGGGAAGAAAAUGACUGUACCCGAAUAAGAAGGUCCGGCUAACUUCGUGCCAGCAGCCGCGGUAAUACGAAGGGACCUAGCGUAGUUCGGAAUUACUGGGCUUAAAGAGCUCGUAGGUGGUUAAAAAAGUUGAUGGUGAAAUCCCAAGGCUCAACCUUGGAACUGCCAUCAAAACUUUUUAGCUAGAGUGUGACAGAGGAAAGUGGAAUUUCUAGUGUAGAGGUGAAAUUCGUAGAUAUUAGAAAGAAUACCAAUUGCGAAGGCAGCUUUCUGGAUCAUUACUGACGCUGAGGAACGAAAGCAUGGGUAGCGAAGAGGAUUAGAUACCCUGGUAGUCCACGCCGUAAACGAUGGGCACUAAGCGUCCGACGGGUUCGACCCUGUUGGGUGCUGCAGUUAACGCGUUAAGUGCCCCGCCUGGGGAGUACGGUCGCAAGACUAAAACUCAAAGGAAUUGACGGGGGCCCGCACAAGCGGUGGAACAUGUGGUUUAAUUCGACGCAACGCGAAGAACCUUACCUGGGUUUGACAUCCCCGGCCGACACCAGAGAUGGUGUUUUCUCUUCGGAGACCGGGUGACAGGUGCUGCAUGGCUGUCGUCAGCUCGUGUCGUGAGAUGUUGGGUUAAGUCCCGCAACGAGCGCAACCCUUGCCCUCAGUUGCCAGCAGUUCGGCUGGGCACUCUGGGGGGACUGCCGGUGACAAGCCGGAGGAAGGUGGGGAUGACGUCAAGUCCUCAUGGCCUUUAUAUCCAGGGCUACACACGUGUUACAAUGGGGGUCACAAAGGGCAGCGAAACGGUGACGUGGAGCGAAUCCCAAAAAAGCCCUCUCAGUUCGGAUCGCAGUCUGCAACUCGACUGCGUGAAGCUGGAAUCGCUAGUAAUCGCGGAUCAGCACGCCGCGGUGAAUACGUUCCCGGGCCUUGUACACACCGCCCGUCACACCAUGGGAGUUG
rnacentral:rRNA from 1 species